rnacentral:rRNA from 2 species
UCCGGUCGUGUAAGCGAGGUGGCACCACCUUUUCCCAUUCCGAACAGAGAAGUGAAACGCUUCAGCGCCGAUGAUAGUUACCGGGCAACUGGUAUUGAAAAUAGGUCGCGGCCGGAA